GACGAACGCUGGCGGCGUGCCUAAUACAUGCAAGUCGAACGAAAGGACCAGAAGCUUGCUUCUCUGAUGUUAGCCGCGGACGGGAGAGUCACACGUGGAUAACCUACCUAUAAGACUGGGAUAACUUCGGGAAACCGGCGCUAAUACCGGAUAAUAUUUUGCACCGCAUUGUUCAAAAGUGAGAUUCGGUCUUUCUGUCACUUAUAGCUGGAUCCGCGCUGCAUUAGCUGGUAGGUAAGGUAACGGCUUACCAAGGCAACGAUGCAUAGCCGACCUGAGAGGGUGGUCGGCCACACUGGAACUGAGACACGGUCGAGACUCCUACGGGGGGCCGCAGUAGGGAAUCUUCCGCGAUGGGGGAAAGCCGGACGGAGCAACGCCGCGUGAGUGAUGAAGGUGUUCGGAUCGUAAAACUCUGUUAUUAGGGAAGAACAUAUGUGUAAGUAACUGUGCACAUCUUGACGGUACCUAAUCAGAAAGCCACGGCUAACUACGUG
rnacentral:rRNA from 1 species